GUGCCCCAACCAACCUUCUUAUCAAGCCUCUCUUCCACCGCUACCACCUCUUAGCAAGCCUCUGGUGGGACGGGUUCAUCCUCUGUGCUGAGACUUAAUUAUGAUAUGCCACAGCAACGUCAGCCCCAAGUAUUGGCUGAGGUGGAGUCAACUUUAGCAGCAGUGAUGCAGCAUCAUAAUGCACAGUACGUAAGUCUUGUUUGUAUGUGUAUGUACUUGUAACAGUAUAUUGUUCAUAUGUUGCGUUUGUUUCUAGAAAGUCUGUCAUUUACCAGUUUGAAACGGCCCCGGGGUAAUUCCAUUAACUGGCGUUGGACCACGUGGUGUCACAUGCUUUUAUUGCCAGAUCUAACCUAAGCCAUGCAGAUGUUGGAUUAUUUGUUGCACAUGCAGCCCAUCUCCAGUCAGUCUGUGAAGAUGUCAUGGUCAGUUCUUUACAGGUCUGUGUGGUAGUUGGUUGUUUAGGUUAUAGACUUGUUCACAUUUGUGUCACGGUGGACAUGAGUGAAAGGUCCCAAAAGACUCAACGCUGAUAAUAUUUCAUCUUCUUCUAUAUUUGCAUAAAUCAAAUCUAAACCUUGUUUUCUCACCCAAUGGUUGGUGUCAGCGCAACAGAGCUAAGAUUUGACAUUUACUUGGUUUAUUCUAGUUCAUAAACUCUGAAAACAUUUAAAAAUCACACUCCUGCUGUGCACCCGUUUUUGUGGGCAGUACCAAGAUCAUAAGGCGCAUAAACCAACCUCGUGUUAAGCCAACACCUCCGUCUCCUGCAGAGGAGCUCCACAAUGGGGAAAUCCACAGGUCAGCAAGAAAGCAAAAGAGACUGCGCCCUACAGAACCUUGCAGCGCAGAUGAAGGCACUCCCUAAAGUUGUGGGCUUGAAGCGGCGGCGUUGGUGGCAGCGGUGGUGGCAGCCUCUGGAAAAGCAAUGUUGGCAGUGCUUGUGGCGGGUGAGGAGGAUGAUGAUCUCCAUGGGGAGUGCCAGGGCCGUCACCCUCUGCGACAUCCAUUCCCGUCUCCACAGCGGAUUCUUCCCGUGAGACGGGGUCGGUGUCAGCUGAACAAGCAGCAGCAGCAGCAGCAGGCUGGUCAUGCAGAAACUGCAUGUCCUGCAGCUCCCCAAACCCCUCGUCCUCCUCCCCCUCAUCAUCAUCCACAACCUCCACGUCAGCCUCAUCCAGGCCGUCGGGAGCGUCUGGAUCCCGGCCCAAAUCCUCCAGCACGGCACCCGUCUGGGAAAACAGGUACUCCACCCCAAUCAGCUCACCUGAAAGAAACACAAGGCGACAUGAGUUUACAUGUUUUCACUCAUGUACUCAUCACUCGGGGUGUGAUGCUGUGAUUUCCAGUCCACUACCUGUGUACUCUCCAGGCUGGGUGUAUGUCUCCACCAGCGUCAUACCCAUAAACUCUUGGGUCAGCUGCUUGAGGUAAUCCUGCAGCAGGGCAUUGUAGCAGCGCGGGACCAGCCUCUGGGCUCCUUCCACUGAAGCUCUGCCGCGGUCUUCAUUCCAUCGUACCAGGCCCUCCAGCAAGUACACCUGAAAGUGCAGGGCACUGGCUGACGUGCCUGGAGACAGGGAGAGACAAAAAAAUUCCACUAUUUGGAAAACAAUCUCAACUUCAACAUCUCACAACAACACAACACUAGUAACAAGAAAAAAACUAAACAGCCGUUUGUUUCCCCUUUUGUUUCUCACCAGGUAUGAAGCCGUUCAGGUGAAGGUGGAAGGACUCCAGUGAAGUGGAUCCUCGGGCGCAGCGGUAGACGGGGAGCCGGAUCCCUCCCUUGGUCAGCUCCCCCGUCUUAGUGUAGAGCGCCACUCCCGGGGGAUCCUGGAUGCAGCUCAGGUGACGACGCUGCACGCUCCAAAUCGCCUCCAUCCUUUCAUGAUCGAUGAGGACGACGCCCAGAUCGUUUCGCAGGUCCCAGAACUGAUCCAGGAGCUCCUGGAUCAGCCUCUCCGUCUCUGCCGCGCGUGUAGCGGCGGCAGUGACGCGCCAGCUCCUUGGCAGAGAGACGGAUGUAGGAAUCUCUGCCCUCCUCUGCGCGCUUGGCCUUCUCCAGCAGAGCCAGGUCGUCCUGGUCCCACAGGUAGAUGGCGUAGGACAGCCGCGCCAUGAACUGAGGGUACAGCUGGUGGCUCUCAGUGGUGACACCUCUGGCAAAGCGUCGCAUGAGGUGCCACACGUCCAGCCUCACCACCAGCUGGUCCCACUCGGAGAACAUGGCGGAUGUGCCCGUCCGUCCAGUGAGGGAGCAGCAGUCACGGCCCACGUACAGCACCGCUGGAGGGGCCACCUGGGCUUCUCGGUACCGCCGCAUCAGCCCUGCGGCCAUG
ensembl:lncRNA